CUUUGGCCUUAUUUCGUUGGUUUCUAAAGCCAAAGUAAUGAUGAAUAGGGAUAGUUGGGGACAUUAGUAUUCAAUUGUCAGAGGUGAAAUUCUUGGAUUUAUUGAAGACUAACUUCUGCGAAAGCAUUUGUCAAGGAUGUUUUCAUUAAUCAAGAACGAAAGUUAGGGGAUCGAAGACGAUCAGAUACCGUCGUAGUCUUAACCAUAAACUAUGCCGACUAAGGAUCGGAUGGUGUUAUAUUUAUAUUGACCCAUUCGGCAUUUCAGCGAAAGCCAAGUUUUUGGGUUCCGGGGGGAGUAUGGUCGCAAGGCUGAAACUUAAAGGAAUUGACGGAAGGGCACCACCAGGAGUGGAGCCUGCGGCUUAAUUUGACUCAACACGG
rnacentral:rRNA from 1 species